rnacentral:rRNA from 1 species
UAGAGUUUGAACUGGCUCAUAGGAUCGCUGCCGGCUGACUAACACACCAAGUCGAGCGUAACACAGCGAGCCUGCUCUCGGGCGACGAGCGGCGUACGUGUGAGUAAUGUCUGGGAAAUUACUUGAUGGAGGGCGACAACUACUGGAAUCGGUAGCUAAUACCGCAUACCGUGUCAAGACCAAAGUGGGGGACGUUCGGGCCUCAUGCCAUCAGAUGAGCCCAGAUGGGAUUAGCUAGUAGGUGGGGUAAUGCCUCACCUAGGCGACGAUCCCUAGAUGGUCUGAGAGGACGACCAGCCACACGGGAGGUGAGACACGGUCCAGACUCCUACGGGAGGCAGCAGUGGGGAAUAUUGCACAAUCGGGCGCAAGCCUGACGCAGCCAUGCCGCGCGUAUGAAGAAGGCCUUCGGGUUGUAAAGUACUUCUCAGCGAGGAGGAAGGCGUUAAGGCUAAUAACCAUAGAGAUUGACGUUACUCGCAGAAGAAGCACCGGCUAACUCCGUGCCAGCAGCCGCGGUAAUACGGAGGGGCAAGCGUUAAUCGGAAUUACUGGGCGUAAAGCGCUCGCAGGCGGUUUGUUAAGUCAGAUGUGAAAUCCCCGGGCUCAACCUGGGACCUGCAUUGGAAACUGGCAAGCUUGAGUCUUGUAGAGGGGGGUAGAAUUCCAGGUGUAGCGGUGAAAUGCGUAGAGAUCUGGAGGAACACCGGUGGCGAAGGCGGCCUCCCUGACAAAGACUGACGCUGCAGUGCGAAAAACGCC